ACAGAUCUGGGGCUAGGCUACCACUCUCAUGUUAGUCUUCCCUUCUCUGUGGGGCUCCAGACAGAGACAGACAGACAAAUCUGGGGCUAGGCUACCGCUCUCAUGUUAGUCUUCCCUUCUCUGUGGGGCUCCGGACAGAGACAGACAGAUCUGGGGCUAGGCUACCGCUCUCAUGUUAGUCUUCCCUUCUCUGUGGGGCUCCGGACAGAGACAGACAGAUCUGGGGCUAGGCUACCGCUCUCAUGUUAGUCUUCCCUUCUCUGUGGGGCUCCGGACAGAGACAGACAGAUCUGGGGCUAGGCUACCGCUCUCAUGUUAGUCUUCCCUUCUCUGUGGGGCUCCGGACAGAGACAGACAGAUCUGGGGCUAGGCUACCGCUCUCAUGUUAGUCUUCCCUUCUCUGUGGGGCUCCAGACAGAGACAGACAGACAGAUCUGGGGCUAGGCUACCGCUCUCAUGUUAGUCUUCCCUUCUCUGUGGGGCUCCGGACAGAGACAGACAGAUCUGGGGCUAGGCUACCGCUCUCAUGUUAGUCUUCCCUUCUCUGUGGGGCUCCGGACAGAGACAGACAGAUCUGGGGCUAGGCUACCGCUCUCAUGUUAGUCUUCCCUUCUCUGUGGGGCUCCGGACAGAGACAGACAGAUCUGGGGCUAGGCUACCGCUCUCAUGUUAGUCUUCCCUUCUCUGUGGGGCUCCAGACAGAGACAGACAGACAGAUCUGGGGCUAGGCUACCGCUCUCAUGUUAGUCUUCCCUUCUCUGUGGGGCUCCGGACAGAGACAGACAAACAGAUCUGGGGCUAGGCUACCGCUCUCAUGUUAGUCUUCCCUUCUCUUUGGGGCUCCGGACAGAGACAGACAGAUCUGGGGCUAGGCUACCGCUCUCAUGUUAGUCUUCCCUUCUCUGUGGGGCUCCGGACAGAGACAGACAGAUCUGGGGCUAGGCUACCGCUCUCAUGUUAGUCUUCCCUUCUCUGUGGGGCUCCAGACAGAGACAGACAGAUCUGGGGCUAGGCUACCGCUCUCAUGUUAGUCUUCCCUUCUCUGUGGGGCUCCGGACAGAGACAGACAGAUCUGGGGCUAGGCUACCGCUCUCAUGUUAGUCUUCCCUUCUCUGUGGGGCUCCGGACAGAGACAGACAGAUCUGGGGCUAGGCUACCGCUCUCAUGUUAGUCUUCCCUUCUCUGUGGGGCUCCGGACAGAGACAGACAGAUCUGGGGCUAGGCUACCGCUCUCAUGUUAGUCUUCCCUUCUCUGUGGGGCUCCAGACAGAGACAGACAGACAGAUCUGGGGCUAGGCUACUGCUCUCAUGUUAGUCUUCCCUUCUCUGUGGGGCUCCGGACAGAGACAGACAGAUCUGGGGCUAGGCUACCGCUCUCAUGUUAGUCUUCCCUUAUCUGUGGGGCUCCGGACAGAGACAUUUAACAUUACAUUUAAGUCAUUUAGCAGACGCUCUUAUCCAGAGCGACUUACAAAUUGGUGCAUUCACCUUAUGACAUCGAGUGGAACAGCCACUUUACAAUAGUGCAUCUAAAUCUUUUAAGGGGGGGGGGGUGAGAAGGAUUACUUUAUCCUAUCCUAGGUAUUCCUUAAAGAGGUGGGGUUUCAGGUGUCUCCGGAAGGUGGUGAUUGACUCCACUGUCCUGGCGUCGUGAGGGAGUUUGUUCCACCAUUGGGGGGCCAGAGCAGCGAACAGUUUUGACUGGGCUGAGCGGGAACUGUACUUCCUCAGUGGUAGGGAGGCGAGCAGGCCAGAGGUGGAUGAACGCAGUGCCCUUGUUUGGGUGUAGGGCCUGAUCAGAGCCUGGAGGUACUGAGGUGCCGUUCCCCUCACAGCUCCGUAGGCAGAGACAGACAAACAGAUCUGGGGCUAGGCUACCGCUCUCAUGUUAGUCCUCCCUUCUCUGUGGGGCUCCGGACAGAGACAGACAGACAGAUCUGGGGCUAGGCUAACCGCUCUCAUGUUAGUCUUCCCUUCUCUGUGGGGCUCCGGACAGAGACAGACAGAUCUGGGGCUAGGCUACCACUCUCAUGUUAGUCUUCCCUUCUCUGUGGGGCUCCGGACAGAGACAGACAGACAGCCCUCCUCAACCUCAAUCUUGGGAUGACUUUGAAUAAUGCCCCAUUUGCACAACAAUGACCCAAUGAGGACAGAGGAGACCUGUGGGCCUAGAAAGAACCAUCACCAGGAAAUCCCACUUUAAAUGGGGC